UAUUAAUGCCCAUCACUAUUUUUGACAGU
rnacentral:sRNA from 1 species